UAGCCUAAUGGUUAAGGCUUUGGAUCGCCAAUCCGGAGACGGCGGGUUCGAUUCCCGU
rnacentral:tRNA from 1 species